ACACGUAGGGGCCUGACGUUGUUCGGAAUCAUUGGGCGUAAAGGGCGCGCAGGCGGCCGUCCAAGUCCGGUGUUAAAUGGUCGGGCUCAACCCGAUCAUGCGCUGGAAACUGGGCGGCUUGAGUCCCGUAGGGGAUGCCGGAAUUCCAGGUGUAGGGGUGAAAUCUGAAGAUAUCUGGAAGAACACCGAUGGCGAAGGCAGGCAUCUGGCCGGAGACUGACGCUGAGGCGCGAAGGCGCGGGGAGCGAACAGGUUUAGAUACCCUGGUAGUCCGCGCAGUAAACGAUGCGCACCAGGUGUCGGGCGGCAGCGCCCGGUACCGGAGCUAACGCGAUGAGUGCGCCGCCUGGGGAGUAUGCCCGCAAGGGUGAAACUCAAAUGAAUUGGCGGGG
rnacentral:rRNA from 1 species